rnacentral:lncRNA from 1 species
AAAAAAGAUUUGUUAUGAUGAUGAUGCCACCAUAUGAGAUAAAAACUCUUCCAUUUAUAAGAAAGGGAAGCCCUUCCAUAAAUUCUUAUUGGUGUAGGUUAAAACCAAGUCAAGAAGAGUUUGGAAAUAGAUUUUAAUUAGUAACUGAUUUCCUUAAAAUCAUAAUAGCUAUCUUUGUACCCAACACAAAGAUUUACGAGGGAGAG